rnacentral:rRNA from 1 species
CACGUAGGGGCCAAGCGUUGGUCCGGAUUUAUUGGGCGUAAAGAGCUCGUAGGCGGUUCGACAAGUCGGGUGUGAAAACUCCGGGCUCAACCCGGAGACGCCACCCGAUACUGUCGUGACUGGAGUCCGGUAGGGGAGUGGGGAAUUCCUGGUGUAGCGGUGAAAUGCGCAGAUAUCAGGAGGAACACCGGUGGCGAAGGCGCCACUCUGGGCCGGUACUGACGCUGAGGAGCGAAAGCGUGGGUAGCAAACAGG